UGCAGUCGAGCGGAACGAUCCUAGCUUGCUAGGAGGCGUCGAGCGGCGGACGGGUGAGUAAUGCAUAGGAAUCUGCCCGGUAGUGGGGGAUAACUUGAGGAAACUCAAGCUAAUACCGCAUACGCCCUACGGGGGAAAGCAGGGGCUCUUCGGACCUUGCGCUAUCGGAUGAGCUUAUGUCGGAUUAGCUGGUUGGUGAGGUAACGGCUCACCAAGGCGACGAUCCGUAGCUGGUCUGAGAGGAUGAUCAGCCACAUCGGGACUGAGACACGGCCCGAACUCCUACGGGAGGCAGCAGUGGGGAAUAUUGGACAAUGGGGGCAACCCUGAUCCAGCCAUGCCGCGUGUGUGAAGAAGGCCCUCGGGUUGUAAAGCACUUUCAGCGAGGAAGAAUGCUUGUCGGUUAAUACCCGGCAAGGGAGACAUCACUCGCAGAAGAAGCACCGGCUAACUCCGUGCCAGCAGCCGCGGUAAUACGGAGGGUGCGAGCGUUAAUCGGAAUUACUGGGCGUAAAGCGUGCGUAGGCGGCUUGAUAAGCCGGUUGUGAAAGCCCCGGGCUCAACCUGGGAACGGCAUCCGGAACUGUUAGGCUAGAGUGCAGGAGAGGAAGGUAGAAUUCCCGGUGUAGCGGUGAAAUGCGUAGAGAUCGGGAGGAAUACCAGUGGCGAAGGCGGCCUUCUGGACUGACACUGACGCUGAGGUACGAAAGCGUGGGUAGCAAACAGGAUUAGAUACCCUGGUAGUCCACGCCGUAAACGAUGUCGACUAGCCGUUGGGGUCCUCGAGACCUUUGUGGCGCAGUUAACGCACUAAGUCGACCGCCUGGGGAGUACCGGCCGCAAGGUUAAAACUCAAAUGAAUUGACGGGGGCCCGCACAAGCGGUGGAGCAUGUGGUUUAAUUCGAUGCAACGCGAAGAACCUUACCU
rnacentral:rRNA from 1 species